rnacentral:rRNA from 1 species
GAUGAACGCUGGCGGCGUGCCUAAUACAUGCAAGUCGAGCGAACAGACGAGGAGCUUGCUCCUCUGACGUUAGCGGCGGACGGGUGAGUAACACGUGGAUAACCUACCUAUAAGACUGGGAUAACUUCGGGAAACCGGAGCUAAUACCGGAUAACAUGUUGAACCGCAUGGUUCAACAGUGAAAGACGGUCUUGCUGUCACUUAUAGAUGGAUCCGCGCCGCAUUAGCUAGUUGGUAAGGUAACGGCUUACCAAGGCAACGAUGCGUAGCCGACCUGAGAGGGGGGGCGGCCACAGGGGAACUGAGACACGGCACAGACUCCCACGGGAGGCAGCAGUAGGGAAUGUGCGGAAAGGGGCGAAAGCCUGACGGAGCAACGCGGCGGGAGUGAAGAAGGUCUUCGGAUCGUAAACCUGUGUUAUUGGGAAAGAAAAAAUGUGUAAGUAACAAUGCAGGGCUUGACGGUACCGAAUCAGAAAGACACGGCUAACUACGUG